UUCUUUAUCUCUGACAGAUUCAGGUGUCCUGUGGCUGCUGUCUCACUGUGAGUCCUUUCUUUAAAAUAUUAUCUCAGAUAGCAGAGUUUCUAUUUUAACAUUUUUUAUAACCUGUAACCGUGUUUACCACGCUGCCUGAGAGAAUUAACACAGCACCAAUUUCUAACACAACGCAUCCAAUAUUCAUCGAAAUAUCUGCCGAAAGCCAACCCCAAAAUUCACAUUUUUCACAGGUUCGGGUUGUCGGUCCGGGGGGUUCUGGGUCCGACUGGCCUCGUUUUUAACCGGGGUUUGGAGUGACCGAGGUGAGGAGUGACCGAGGAGAGGAGUGACCGAGGAGAGGAGUGACCGAGGAGAGGAGUGACCGAGGAGAGGAGUGACCGAGGAGAGGAGUGACCGAGGAGAGGAGUGACCGAGGUGAGGAGUGACCGAGGAGAGGAGAGGAGUGACCGAGGAGAGGAGUGACCGAGGAGAGGAGUGACCGAGGAGAGGAGUGACCAAGGAGAGGAGAGGAGAGGAGUGACCGAGGUGAGGAGUGACCGAGGAGAGGAGUGACCAAGGUGAGGUGAGGAGUGACUGAGGAGAGGUGAGGAGUGACCGAGGUGAGGAGUGACCGAGGAGAGGAGUGACCGAGGUUCGGUGAGGAGUGACCGAGGUUCUCAGCGCCUCUGCCGGCUCCGGACCUGGCCCUGCUGCCCAAACACCGCCCUGAGCUCUCAGUUCUGCCCUGGCUCCUCUGUUUGGGGCAUUUCCCGGGAUUUGGUGAGGGUCUUUGCCUGGCUCCUGAGAUCUCCUCCCUCCUCACCAUGCAGAGAGGGUGACAUCCCCUUUUCAGGAGGAAAGGGUGGUACCGAAAAUAAUUAAUUCUCCACCACAGAGGGUUAAUUGGGAUACUCAGCAGGUGAUUGCGACAUUUAACCAACAAAAGA